CUAAUUUCUUUCUCUCAGUAUGCCAAGAGAAAUACUUGUCAGGGUACAAAGUGAGGCUGAAAAUAGGAGAAUUUAUGAAAAAUAUUUUAAAAGUGCAUUUAGGCUUUCAGAACCUCUCUCCCACUCUGUCUCCUCAAAGGCUUUUAAUUACCUUGCCCUGACUCUGGCAGAUGGCAUAGGUACUAGCAAAAUAGCUAAUUCCCCAUGUGAUCUCCGCACAGUUGAAGGCCAUCAUUUAAUAAUUCCUGCACACACCACAGAACCUUAAGACAGAAUUUCACUGCCUCGUUUGUUGGUUUUUUUUUUUCUAGGUGAAAAUAGUAUAAUAUACAUUAACACAGAUUCAAAAAUUACCACAGUUUUGUCUUAUGUGUUUCAUCUGUCCCAUUUUUUUUUUGUUGUUGAAGCAAUUUAAGGAAAAUCCAAGACUGCAUGCUAGUUUCACCUCCAUUUACUUCAGUGUGAUAUGCCAUUUUCUUAUACAACAACAGUAUUAUUAUUCCCAAAUUAGCAAUAGUUCCUCAGUAUUUUCUAAUUCCCAGUUCAUAAUCAAAUUUCCUCAAUAUUAAAAAAAAUUGUAGUUUGUUUGAAUCUGGUUCUACACAAGGUCUACAUGUCACAUUUAAUUGUCACUUUUGUUACUUCUCUUUAUCUAGAAAAGCCACUCCCUCUUUUCUCCAUCAUUAGUAACUUAUAGAAAUGGGACCAAUUGUCCUCAUUUGUAAAUAUGAAUAGAUAACAAAGGAUCUCCAGACUUGUAAGGAAGGCUUCAAAUGUGAAAGAAGGGAAGCAAAACAAAGAAAAAAUUUAAAAAGCCAGAGGAACAGAAGCUAUGAAGUGAGCUGAAGAAAACUUUAAAAUACACCAUAAUUGGGGUCCUUGGGUGGCUUAGUUGGUUAAUCAUCCGACUUCAGCUCAGGUCAUGAUCUCACAGUUUGUGAGUUCAAGCCCUGCAUUGGGCUCUGUGCUGACAGCUCAGAGCCUGGAGCCUGUUUCAGAUUCUGUGUCUCCCUCUCUCCCUCUUCCCCUCGCCUGCUCACACUCUCUCUCUUUCUCAAAAAUAAUAAAUUAAAAAAAUAAAAAAUAAAUGAUAAAACACACAGUAAUUGAUACCUUCAAAAAAUAAGAAAAGAAAUUGUAAUCAUGAAAUAAGAACAAGAAAUAAUUCUUGUAGACUUUUGAAGAAUAAGAAAGAAUUCUUGGUAAUUAAAAUUUAACAGAAAUUAAAAAUUUCGUAGACAGGAUGGAAGAUAAACAAAAUGUCCAAAGUAGUAAGAUGGCAAAAAAUUUAAGAAAAUUAGAAAAUCUCUUCAGAAGGUCCCACAUCUAAACAGAAAGAUGUUCCAGAAAAGAAAAGAAAAAAAAAAAAAAACAUAGAAAAUGAAGGGGAAAGAAUCAUUUUCCUUAGGGUAAAAUUCCUGGAACUAAAGAACACCAGUUUUCAAAACAUCAUGUGCCCAGCAAAGAGAAUGACAAAAGACUGAUACAAUAAUAUAUUGUGAUGAAAUUUAAGAAUACUAAGUGAAAAGAGAAAAAUCUUAAAGCUUCUGAACCAGGGCAGGGGCAGAGUGAGGAGAACCUACCAUGUAUCAUACAAAGAAGUAGAAAUUAGACCGGCAUUGGACUUUUCAGAAACAGCACCAUAUGUUAGGAAACAGAGGAAAAGUGCCCUAAUUUUCAGAUGAAGAAUAUUUUUUCUCAUCUAUGAUUCUAUAUUUAGCUAAACUGUCUAGUCUGAGAUAUAAUACAUUUUCACAUAUUCAAGUUCUUAAAAUUACCUCUCACGUACAAAACAAAAAACAAAAAACAAACAAAAACAAAAAACAAACUCCUGGAGGAUUUAUUCCACCAAAAGGAGAACACCAAGAAGGAGGAAGACUUUAGAGCCAGGGUACAGGGUACCGACAUGAAAGAGAGCUAAGGACAGUUCCUGAAAUGGUAAGAAAGGCAAGUCACAGGGUGACAGUUGUUUAGUGAAACUGGAGAAUACCCAGACAGGAGCAUGGGAAUAGAGAGCUCUGGGAAGGAUGUUUCCUGGAAAAGAAAUGAUAUGGAAGAGUUUUCCGCUGUGUCUGAAGAUAUUGAGAAAGCAGAAUUAGACCUCUGUCAGAUUUGGAAGAUGUAUCAAAGACAGGUACACAGAAAACUAAGAAGAAAAGGAGAUGGGUUUUCAAUCCAGGGACACCAAAAAGUUGUACAAGAAAAGAAAUGUGAUCAUAACAUAACAGCUCACUAGUGAAGAAUAAUAAUUUGGGAUGUAAGUAUGCAGUUAAAAAGUCAACAAAAUGAAUUUCAGAGAGUACAGAGAGAAUUGAGUCAUUUGCAACAUGAAUUAAAUAUUAAACAGAGACAAUCACAAGCAUUCAGUCAAAGAUUGGUGGAGUACAAAUAUUUGUGGAAUAAGACUCUUUCAUUACUUACUUUUACUAAAAGGGAGCUAACCAGUAUUAAAAAUGAAGUAUAUGACAAUUUUCAAAACUGGACUUCACUGAAAGGAGAAGUUUUUCUACAAAUUAAAUCCAUAAGUGAAACAGCCUUGACAGAAAUAGAGAUACUAAAGAAAAGUUUGACAGUGUCCCAGAGAAAUAAGAUGUGCCUUGAAGAGGAAAUGAAAAAUCUGAAAUUGUUGUCAGAUGCAGCCAUACUGAGGUCUCAGCAGAUUCAGACAUCCAAACAACAGGAAGUAAACUUGCAAACCAGAUGCCAUGACUUGGAAAAAGAAGUACUAGGUUUACAAUGUCAAGUAGAGGCACUUGGGCUAAAACAUCAGAAGGCAGUGACAGAGAUUGACAACUAUAAAGAAAAGCUCAUGAAUAAAUCUAAUGAAGCUGAUGACUGUCAAAGAGAACUUAGAAAACUGAAGUUUGAAUCCAUUAUUUCUGAGUCACGGCAUACCAGAUUGCUUAAAGAGAAAGAGGAUUCUUUAAUAGCUUCUCAACAAAUAUAUAAAACUUUACAGGAAGAACUGACUGCGAAAGAAAGACAAGAAGAAGACAUAAAAAGAAGAAUUAACUUUGCAGAAAAUGAACUACAGAUAACCAAAACUCUUCUGCAUCAGACAAAGGAAGAGGUUGUAACGCUGAAAAGUGAAAGGGAAUUAAUGCUGAUUUCACAUCAGAAAAGCAUCGAGCAGCUGCAGGAAACCCUUAGACAGAAGCUGCUGAAUGAUGAUAACUGGAGAGAGAAGAUUGAAGCUGAACUUGCCAAGGAAAGAGCCCAGCAUUUAGUUGAGUUUGAGGAGCAAGCUCUGCUUUUCAAAGCAGAAGCUAAACUGGAACUUGAUAUUGAAAAGGAAAAACAUCAAGAAAUAAUCUGUAAAUAUAAGAAAGAACAAGAGGAACUAAAAAUGAAGAUAUCUGAUUUAAUCGCAAGUGCUACUAGAGAUCUAAAGCUGGAAGUGGCCACCCUUGAAGAAAAACUCCAUGAAUCUUGUAUCCGACAUACUGAAGAUUCUGAAUCAAAGGAGAAAGAAAUUGAAAACCUUAAAAAUUUGGUUGCAGAAUUUGAAGCCCGCCUGAAGAAAGAAACUGACAGUAACGAUUCCAUUUCAGAGGACUUGAGGAAGGAAAUGAAGCUGAAGUCAGAUGAGCUAGAUAGAGUAAUGCUGGCACAAACACAACUGAUGCAGCAGUUUAACCAGUCCCAGGAACAGAACACUUUUCUUCAGGAAACAGUGCGCAGGGAGUGUGAAGAACGCUUUGAACUGACAGAGGCUUUGAGCCAAGCCAGAGAACAGCUUCUGGAGCUCAGGAAGCUCAGUGGAAGUUUACCUUUGUCGCCGUGUUCCCUUAACCAGGGCAGCCUAACCUCCUCUGCUGCAGUGGUCAGCAGCCAGGGAGAGAGAAGCCUUACAAGACUGAACUCUGGAAAAGGAAUCAAAAUCCCCAGCCUGCAUGGAGUGUCAAAACCCACCACUGCCCCAACCUCAGUUCAACCCAAGAGGGUCAGCAGCUCAGGUACAUUCUUAACUCUCAAUGGCCCCCAGAUACCCAGAGUUUCUGCAACCAUCCCCACCCCUCCAGAAUUAGGACAGCUCUCGAAGGACACAGGGAAAGAUUCCAGGGAAGGCAAAUCCAACCAGCCUCACCAGGUUCAAGCGCUUGCCCUGGGGCCAGGGACAGGAAGGCACCUUGACUAAACAGCUUCCCAUGUGUGGGAGAGGUAAUUACCAGAGGAAGAAGAGACCAGAUUCCUUCCGCAGAUACCUCCAUCAUCAAGCCAGGCAGUGACAGCAUGGCAAAGGGGACAGUGUUUUAUUUGCUUUGUGUGUUUGGGGUAACUAAGUGCUGGCCCCAUGAAGCCUGACCAGUGGGAUUUUGCUAACUGUGAGGAGGCAGCCUGGAUAUAUCACAGCAAGAAGACGGUUUCCACAGGGCACGAAGCUGGAGGGUGUUAUCUCUGUCACUGUUCACGAGGCAGCGGUGAGGUAGGCACCAUUACUUCCACGGGUGCUCACAAGGACCCUGAGGCUGGGAGAAGCCCAGUGACUAACUCAAACCCCAUGACCAUGCGCUGGCAGCCUAAAACCCAGCAGGGCUUUCUGACUCUGACUGUGCUUUGCAUUCAGUAAGCCCUGAUUUUAGUUUCCCCCACCAGUACGACUAUACCGAUCUCCGCCUGCCAGCUCUCUCUCCAGCCAGCCCACAGGGGUCAUCUCCUUGGCAGCUGAGGCAGACAGAAGGGGCCAGACACUCAGCCAGGGCCUGGAGCCCACUGGCCCCGGGGCCCCACGUGCACUCUGGACCACAUCUCAUGCUGCCCGCCCUGCAUUCCAAACCCCGGUCACAGCUCCAGAAAGAUGCACAUUUUAAAGCAGUACUAUUGUCUGGCUUGUAAGCCUAGUUUCUGAGAGAGAGAGAGAGAGAAUGAAUCUCAAGCAGGCACCACGCCGAAUGUGACCUUGGGAUCAUGACCUGAGUGGAAAUCAAGAGUCAGCUGUUCAACCGACUGAGCCACCCAGGUGCCCUGACCCAGCAGCCAUUUAAAGGUUUGUCCCUAUGGAUGCCUUCAUGAUUUCUGUCUAGCUUUCUCUAAAAAUGAAGUGGAGGAACGUCCGUGAUGCCUGGAACAUAUCAAUUCAAAGGUCAUGAGUUGAAAUGUGAUUAACAACUCAGAUUACAGGAUUGUCAACUUCCAAGCUCCCAUGACCUUAACUGAAGGGCUGAAGGGUUGGGUCGAGACCAAGAGGGCUUAACAACACUGUGAGCUGCCAUAGCAUUGGAUGUGCUGAGUGCUCAAAAUUCAGGUAUUGUCCGAUUAAUCCACAUAUUCUUUUACUACACACUUAGGGGACGCUAUUAUAAGAUUCCCGCAUCAGCUAGGAAUUCAGUUAGCUACCAGAUGCCCUCCUGCUGGGAUCGUGGCUUCUACAAAACAGCCACUGGCCCAUCUCAGGAGCGGUGUUUUAUCACUAUGCUAUGCUAGGCACUAGGGACCGGAAGGUGAAGGAAAGUGUCCUUCCCCCCAGGAGUUGCAGCCUAGCAGGCCCAUCAAUCAGGAUAGCACAGUGCGGUGUGCUACAGCACAGGCAGGGGCAAGGUGCCGUGUCCCCAAGGCAAGGGACAGGAGCUCUGCCUGACUGAAUCAGGAAGGUUUUCCAGGAGGCACAUCUAAGCCAGGUGUCAAGGGGUAAGCAAGAAUUUAUCUGGAGAAGAGGAGACUGGUUGUUUCGGGCAGAAAAAAGUAGCUUAUACAGAGACACGAAGACACCUAAGAAUAAGGUGUGACCAAAAAGUAAUGGCCCAUGGGUGAUGGUGGGGCUAUAGCAGGAGGUGAGACUGGAGACGCCACUGGUGGGUCACGUAGGCCCUUCACUACCUGCUUUGGGUACUGGUGUUAGUAUUAGAGGUUCUCUUCCUGCAUGACAAAUCACCCCAAAACUUAGGUGCUUAAAACAACAAACAUGUAUUCUCUCACCAUUCCUGCGGGUCAGGAAUCCAGGCAUGGUUUAGCAGUCCUCUGACUCAAGGUCUCACGGGCUGCAAUCCAGGUUAUCAGCCAGGGCUGCAGUUACCUCAAGGUUCGACUGGGGGAGGAUCACCUUCCAGGCUCACUUGCCUGGCCGUUGGCCAAUCUCAGGUCCUCGCUGGCUGCUUGCUAGAGACAUCAGUUCCUUGCCACAUGGGCCUCUCCAUAGGGCAGCUCACAACUUGGCAGCUGGCAGAGAGAGAGAGAACGAGAGAGAGAGAAAGACAGAUGACAGAGACAGAGAAACAGGGAGAGAGGUCGAGAGAAAGACACGGUCUUUUUGUAAUCUAAUAUCAGAAAUGACAUCCCAUCACUUUUGUUCAUUCUGUUGAAAGAGACUCACCAGGUCCAGCCCACAUGCCCACAGGUGAGGGGGUUUACACAGGGUGUGAAUACUCGCAGGUGAUGAUCACUGGGGUCAUUUUAGAGGCUGCCUACCACAUACAUGAGAGCUAUUUAAGACACAAUCCCAGCAUCAUCCCAUUCUGCAUAAAUUAUAGAGAGAGACAUACAAUUUCACUGCCUAUGAGGUUGUUUUUGUUGAUGGGUACACUCUGGUCCCGAAGAGCCCUGAAGAACAAUGUGCUUCAUUUCACAUCUCUCCCUAAGGAUUUUGUACAACCCACUUGGCACUCACGCCGUUAUUAUUACGUGGAUUCAGCCCAAAGCUGCCUGUGUGGGUAGACAGAGGUGGGAAGGUGGGGAGGCAGAGAGAGGAAGUGAUCGGGACCCCAGAAUGAACGAGAAAAAGGUCACACGCCAACUGAAAAUUAGAAAUGAAUCUGAGUGGAACUAAGUAUUGUGGUUGACAGCUCACACACGCGGAGCCAACUUGCCACAGCUUGGCCGCGGACCUUGGUUUUCCCACAUGCAACUGAAAAUAACUAACAUUCAUCCUGAGGGAGUGCCACUAAAAUAAGUAACUACUGGGAGCUAUACCUCACUGUUCAUUCAAGCUGGAAGCAGUCUGCAAUUACUUGGCUGAAAUUAGACACAAAUUAAAUUGCCACUUCCGGAACCCUUUUCUCCGGUACUAUAUUGCAAAACAGAAACUGCUUUUUGAACUCUGACGGUUUAGAUUGUGUUUCCUUUCUUACAAAUAAAUGCGAUAUCCGACAGACUCUCCACAAGGGCAGAUUACUGACACUAACCUCUCGGGAGACCUAAUCUUUUCAGAAGCCUGGUUUUCUGAGUUGCAGACCUGGGUUUAAUUGUUAUGGACAGAGUGACAGGCUGGUAAAAGGGACUAGAGAGGAGAGCAACUUGCCCACAUUUGAAGUAGAGUGCAUGGUGGAGGAGAGAGGGCUAGCAGAGAAUUUUGCCCUGAGAUAUAUGUGGAUGGCUUUGCUCCCAGUUGUUUUGGUCAUCUGAAAGCUCUCAGGCCUGCAUCCAUCUAAUUUUUUUUUUUAAUUUUUUCACUCUGUGUUUGAGAGAGAGACAGAAUGUGAGCAGGGGAGGAGCAGAGAGAGAAGGAGACACAGAAACCGAAGCAAGCUCCAGGCUCUGAGCUGUCAGCACACAGCUGGACACGGGGCUCGGAUUCAUGAACCGCGAGAUCAUGACCUGAGCCGAAGUUGACUGCUCAACCAACUGAGCCACCCAAGGCACCCCAUUCUGCAUCCAUUCAAAUAUGGAAGUUCUCCUAUGAUUUUUAAAAACAAAAUUAACACACAUACGUGAAAACAGUAAUAAUGAUACCUCGAGGGUCUCCCCUCAAACUUGUCUAAGAAGGAACUGGCAUGCAGAUAAUGUGGGUGUUUGGGGGUUUUCUGUUACAAAAGAGCCCUGAACUGUAUUAUCUCCUUAAUAAAACACCAUCUUCCUGUCAAGGAAGAACCUGCCAUUGGAAGAUGUGGACGGAUAUCAAAGAGCCCAGCUGUGCUGGAACCUAGGAGGCAGUGGAGGCUUUCAGGGGAGGUGGCUUCUCCAUAACUUUGAAUUCUAACUUCCCUUUGCAGAAGGGCAAAGAGUACUUUCUUCCCGUUGUUGGAGACAUUAGUUAGUCACAGAUGAAGCACACUUAAAACUAACCCCCACCCCCUUUCACCAGCUCCACACAUUCUCACCCUAUAUACUUAUUCUGAUCUGGUGAAUCUUAGAAGUGACAAAUUAAACAAAGAGGUUUCCAGGUAUCCUCUCCUCCUCCA